rnacentral:rRNA from 1 species
CUAUUUUGGAACAUUAGAGGCCUGAAUGGGUCCAUCAAAUGUAAUAAAUUGAAAGAGCUCAUUAUAGCUCAUAAGCCUGAUUUUAUUAGUAUUUCUGAGUCUAAGAAAGAAGACUUUACCCCUCUUCAAUUAGAAGCUUUUGACAUUAGAUCCUGUUAUGCUUGGAAAUGGCUUCCUGCUAAUAACACUGCUGGAGGCAUCCUAGUAGGAAUUAGGGGAGAUCUCUUUGACAUCGUUUGCUGUGAUAUACACACUUACAGUGUUUCUUGCUUACUCCAAAACAAGCAAGAUGGGUCUUCCUGGAGACUGAUCUCCAUUUAUGGUCCUGCUUAUGAACAGUACAAACUAGAUUUCAUUAAUGAAUUGCACAACUUGCUUACUGGGUGGACUGGUCCAACUCUGGUAGGUGGGGAUUUUAAUUUGAUUAGGGAGGCCAGUGAGAAAAACACUGGUCUGAUUAACCAGCACUGGGCAGACUUGUUCAAUGACUGGAUUAAUAGAUUUGGUCUUCUUGAGCUGAAGAUUAAUGGCAGGAAAUACACCUGGGGCAAUAACCAAGACUCUUUGGUUAUGGCCACUAUAGAUAGGGUUUUCAUGUCCACUAAUUGGGCAACAUCUUUCCCUAAUGUUCAGCUCAGAGCUCUUCCUAGGGUUGGAAGUGAUCACACCCCUCUGGUAUUGAACACUUGUGCUUUCUCCCCCCCCCCUAAAGAGAAAGAUUUUAGAUUUGAGAAAUGGUUUCUUGAAGUAGAUGACUUUAGGGAAGUAGUUCAUAAAGCCUCGAGCACUAAAUGUUGCUUUACCAAAGCUAUUGAUAUUUGGCAGUUUAAUAUUAGAAAUACCAGGAAAGCUAUUAAAGGCUGGUGUGCUAAUUUUGAGGCAGAGCAAAAAAAAGGCAAAAACAUGCCUUGGUGGCUAAAUAUAACUGCCUUGAUAUUAUUGCUGAGUCUCAACCUCUCUCACCUAACUCUAAGAUGA